AGAUUGAACGCUGGCGGCAUGCUUUACACAUGCAAGUCGAACGGUAACGCGGGGGCAACCCUGGCGACGAGUGGCGAACGGGUGAGUAAUACAUCGGAACGUGCCCAGUAGUGGGGGAUAGCUCGGCGAAAGCCGGAUUAAUACCGCAUACGACCUACGGGUGAAAGCGGGGGAUCGCAAGACCUCGCGCUAUUGGAGCGGCCGAUGGCAGAUUAGCUUGGUUGGUGGGGUAAAAACGCCUACCAAGGCGACGAUCUGUAGCUGGUCUGGAGAGGACGACCAGCCACACUGGACUGAGACACGGCCCAGACUCCACGGGAGCAGCAGGUGGGAAGUUUGGACAAGUGGGCGCAAGCCUAGAUCCAGGCAAUCGCCGCGUGUGUGAUGGAAGCCGUU
rnacentral:rRNA from 1 species